rnacentral:rRNA from 1 species
GAAACUGGGAUAACUUCGGGAAACCGGAGCUAAUACCGGAUAAUAUUUUGAACCGCAUGGUUCAAAAGUGAAAGACGGUCUUGCUGUCACUUAUAGAUGGAUCCGCGCUGCAUUAGCUAGUUGGUAAGGUAACGGCUUACCAAGGCAACGAUGCAUAGCCGACCUGAGAGGGUGAUCGGCCACACUGGAACUGAGACACGGUCCAG